GAUGAACGCUAGCGGCAGGCCUAAUACAUGCAAAUCGAACGGGAUCCAGAUCAAAGCUUGCUUUGGUUUGGUGAGAGUGGCGCACGGGUGCGUAACGCGUGAGCAACCUACCCUUGUCAGGGGUAUAGCCCGGCGAAAGUCAGAUCAAUACCGCAUGACAUCAUUGAGAGGCAUCUUUCGAUGAUCAAAGAUUUAGCGGUCAAGGAUGGGCUCGCGUGACAUUAGCUAGUUGGUAGGGUAACGGCUUACCAAGGCUAUGACGGGUAGGGGGUCUGAGAGGGUGACAGGCAACAGUGGGACUGAGAUACGGCCCAGACUCCUACGGGAGGCAGCAGUGGGGAAUAUUGCAAAAUGGGCGGAAGCCUGAUGCAGCAACGCCGCGUGCGGGAUGACGGCCUUCGGGUUGUAAACCGCGUUCGCCGGUGACGAAGCGUGAGUGACGGUAAUGGGUAAAGAAGCACCGGCUAACUACGUG
rnacentral:rRNA from 1 species